UCUGGUUCUCUCCUGAGGUAUCAACAGAGUCAUCAAAGGAUCCAAUCCAAUAACAAUUUAAUUCUACCCUAUUCUCCUCACUUUGGAUACAGUGUUGUACACCUCCAGUUGUUCACAUGAGCAUCUAUUUCAGCAUGAAGUGCUUCUUCAUCCUUUGAAAUUAUAGUGAACCACCAAGCCUGACUUCAUCUCUUUGCUGUGUGAAAAC
rnacentral:lncRNA from 1 species